rnacentral:rRNA from 1 species
GAACCGAACGCCGCGCUAAGGUACCCAAGUGUCCGCUCAUCAGAGACCACAAAAGGCGUUGGUACCUCUAGACAGCAGGACGGUGGCCAUGGAAGUCGGAACCCGCUAAGGAGUGUGUAACAACUCACCUGCCGAAGGUACUAGCCCUGAAAAUGGAUGGCGCUCAAGCGGACCACCGAUGCGCGGCCGCCGGCGCGAGCGCGAGGCGCCGGCGAGUAGGGGGGCGCGGGGCUCGCGACGCAGCCUUGGGCGCGAGCCUGGGUGAAGCGGGCCCCGGUGCAGAUCUUGGUGGUAGUAGCAAA